rnacentral:rRNA from 1 species
GAUGAACGCUGGCGGCGUGCUUAACACAUGCAAGUCGAACGGAAAGGCCCAAGCUUGCUUGGGCACUCGAGUGGCGAACGGGUGAGUAUCACGCGGGUGAUCUGUCCCGCACUUCGGGAUAUGCCUUGGAAACUGGGUCUAUUAUCGGAUAGGACGAUGGUUUCGAUGCCAUUGUGGAAAGUUUUUUCGGUGUGGGAUGAGUUCGCGGCCUAUCAGCUCGUUGGUGGGGUAUUGGCCUACCAAGGCGGCGACGGGUAGCCGGUCGGAGAGGGUGCACGGCCACAUUGGGACUGAGAUACGGCCCAGACUCCUGCGGGGGGCAGCAGGGGGGAAUAUUGCACAAUGGGCGCAAGCCUGAGGCAGCGACGCCGCGUGGGGGAUGACGGCCUUCGGGUUGUAAACUCCUUUCGCUAGGGACGAAGCGUUUUUGUGACGGUACCUAGAGAAGAAGCACCGGCUAACUACGUG